rnacentral:ncRNA from 12 species
ACAUUUUGAAGUAGAGAAUGUGCUGCUACACCCCGUAAAGGUUUCGUUUUAGAAAUCUUUUUAAACGGACAAAAGAAAUGCAGGACAGGGCACACCUGCCGAAGUGU